CCUACGGGAGGCAGCAGUGAGGAAUAUUGGACAAUGGGCGCAAGCCUGAUCCAGCCAUGCCGCGUGCAGGAUGACGGUCCUAUGGAUUGUAAACUGCUUUUGCACAGGAAGAAACAACUCUACGUGUAGAGUCUUGACGGUACUGUGAGAAUAAGGAUCGGCUAACUCCGUGCCAGCAGCCGCGGUAAUACGGAGGAUCCAAGCGUUAUCCGGAAUCAUUGGGUUUAAAGGGUCCGUAGGCGGUUUAGUAAGUCAGUGGUGAAAGCCCAUCGCUCAACGGUGGAACGGCCAUUGAUACUGCUAGACUUGAAUUAUUAGGAAGUAACUAGAAUAUGUAGUGUAGCGGUGAAAUGCUUAGAGAUUACAUGGAAUACCAAUUGCGAAGGCAGGUUACUACUAAUGGAUUGACGCUGAUGGACGAAAGCGUGGGUAGCGAACAGGAUUAGAUACCCUGGUAGUCCACGCCGUAAACGAUGGAUACUAGCUGUUGGCGCAGUUCAGUGCUAAGCAAAGUGAUAAGUNUCCCACUGGGAUACGUUGCAAGAUGAAACUCGAAAGGAUUGACG
rnacentral:rRNA from 1 species